GGAAACUUUUGUUUAGUCUCUUUUUCAAAGAUUUAAUUACCAGUAAUACUUGCAUUUAAAGGACAUUUGUAUUUAACGCGCUCUUAUUCCACCCACUUGCCCCAUACUCAGUAGAAUCACAUAUCUUUAUGCUUAGUUCAAGCUUGCCGCUCUUGUAUUUUUUAUGAAAGCAAAAUAUUGAUGAGAAUUAUACAGCUUUCAAUGGAAUACUGAAUAAAUCCUAUACAUUUGUAGUUACCCAGAUAUGAUAUACAUGUUAACCCGGAUGUAAUCUUAAUUUAAAUCACCCAGACAAACUAACAUCUUAUUGAAUUAUCUCCUCCAUGAAGCAGUCAUAGUGAUGAGUUAAAAUCCAGGAGUAUUAUUUGUGUUUGUCUCUUUGUUUACGUAUGAUUUACGUGUACAGUGUAUGAUUUACGUGUACAGUGUUGUACAAUGAUCAUGAAUUGUUGUGAAGCAUCAGACGUUUUACUUUCUAUUAUGAGCAGUUGACCUGUGUUCUUCACGGACUAGAAAAUUACCACUAUACUCCUAAACUCUGAAUUGUUUAUUGUUUAUGUUGAAUAAUAUAUAAAUAUAUAUCAUUAACUGUUUUCAGUGAAAUUAAAGUUAUGAUUAUG
rnacentral:misc_RNA from 1 species